ACAUUAUCUGAAUUUAUUCAAAAUUGAAGUAGGGCCCUUGAACAACACCGGCUCACCGGCAGCAGUGAAAAUGGUGACAUCACCUAAGACUUCUCCGAUGUCUGCGGAGAAAUCUUCUGCGGUGGCUCUUGCAAGAAAACGAGAUUCAUUGACGGCAAUGUUUCUCGAUUUGAAGGAGAAAUUUGUGGCGAAAGUAAGAGGACGAGGCUUGAAACACCAAUUUGAAAGAAAACGGCAAGCGAAUUUGAGAGAGUGAAGUGAAUCAAAGGAGAGAGAUAUGGUUGAUGGUAGAGCUCUUGCGGAGACUGUAGCCAUAGCUCCCGACUCGAGUAUCCAUUUUUUCUGAAAAACCAAUAAACCAAGUGGCGGGAGGAGACGAGACGACAGCGUUUAGUGGUUUGUGUUAUGGCCCCAAUAAAAUGGGCACCUAAAAACACACACAAUUACAGUAGGAUGGAUGAAUUCUCCAUAUCUAGAUGGGAUAUACGGAGUUUUUGACCACCAACUGCCAGCUGCAUUGAAAAAGCUCAACAUUGAUCGGCAUCUCUCUACAAGAGGCCACCAGCCACAUCUAAUUGCUCCUGUACAACGGAAGACUCAUUGAUGGGUCUAUCAGCUUUUUCAAAUGCCCAGCUGAAGCUUCUGUGGAUGCUGAGUUAAGGCGGUUUCUAACUCUUCGGUGUGACAUAAUUGCUGCUGCAAAUGAUGCUUCGGAAAGAUUCCUUGAAGAAGGCAGGAGAACAGUUUUAAGGCUGGUGGAUAUGGAAUCUAACAACCUGAACGUUGAAUUUUUUCAUCUUAAACUAGAGAAGAGUCCUAAUCAACAAGGCCCAAAUGCACCAAAUGGACCAAAUCCUCCAAAUCAGGAUCGAUCUUCUGAGAAUCAUUUUAGGAAAAUUGAAAUUGUGUUAGGGCGAAGAUAUAUGCGAGGAGGAGAAAUAAGAAGGAGAAAGGAAGUUUGGGACUUGGCAGCAAUUUAGCAGAUACACAAGUCAACCGACAAGCAAAGGACAAGGCAUUAAUGCAACUGCAAAUGGGAGAAGAAGCAGCAUGCAGGCAACAGGAGCUGGGGUCCACGAAGAUGCGCAAUGCUGAGGUGGCGACGCUGGAUUGGAAGAGCAACUGUGAAGGAAGAUGGCAUCAUGUUAUAGGCCUGGAGACAAUGGAAGAAGGCAGGAAAAAUCACAGAAUAGGAAAGGAAUCAGGGAGAGUCCCAGCCUCUUGAAUGCUGGAGGGUCUUGUGUUCAUCUUGUGAUGUUCAUUGCUGUGAUGUUUUUUGAGAGUAGGUUGUUUAACUGCUGUAAACAGUUAAUCUGAACUCUGGGAAAAUCUUUUGUAACUGCAUUUCAGAAAAAAAUAUUAUUAAUGCAAGCUUUGAUGUUUUUGCCAA